rnacentral:rRNA from 1 species
UGGGGAAUAUUGCACAAUGGGCGCAAGCCUGAUGCAGCCAUGCCGCGUGUGUGAAGAAGGCCUUCGGGUUGUAAAGCACUUUCAGCGGGGAGGAAGGCGAUAAGGUUAAUAACCUUGGCAAUUGACGUUACCGACAGAAGAAGCACCGGCUACUCCGGGCCAGGAGGCGCGGUAAUACGGAGGGUGCAAGCGUUAAUUGGAAUUACUGGGCGUAAAGGGCACGCAGGCGGUUGAUUGAGUCAGAUGUGAAAUCCCCGGGCUUAACCCGGGAAUUGCAUCUGAUACUGGUCAGCUAGAGUCUUGUAGAGGGGGGUAGAAUUCCAUGUGUAGCGGUGAAAUGCGUAGAGAUGUGGAGGAAUACCGGUGGCGAAGGCGGCCCCCUGGACAAAGACUGACGCUCAGGUGCGAAAGCGUGGGGAGCAAACAGG